rnacentral:rRNA from 1 species
UACGUAGGGUCCGAGCGUUGUCCGGAAUUAUUGGGCGUAAAGGGCUCGUAGGCGGUCUGUUGCGUCGGGAGUGAAAACUUACAGCUUAACUGUGAGCGUGCUUCCGAUACGGGCAGACUUGAGGUAUUCAGGGGAGAACGGAAUUCCUGGUGUAGCGGUGAAAUGCGCAGAUAUCAGGAGGAACACCGGUGGCGAAGGCGGUUCUCUGGGAAUAUCCUGACGCUGAGGAGCGAAAGCGUGGGUAGCAAACAGG